UUAAAACCUUGACCGUUAUGUGUUUUUAAGUGACAAGUGAAGAGACAACAUUGAAUAUUUAUGUAAAUAAACAUUAACAAUUAAAGUGAUUGAGGAAGAUUAAAUAACAAUAAGAUGAUCUAAUAACAAUAAAAGAUGCAGUUUUUUUUUAUAAUGAUGGAUUAAUUUUGUCAAAAAUAAUCAAAUAAAGUAAGGAAGGAAAGUCUUCAGUGAAAAGAUUUGAAUAUGAGAUUGGAUAUCAAAAUGUUCAAUGAUUAUGGAAAAGAUCGUUUGCAAUUGAUGAUAAGAUGGAAGGGGGUGAAGAUACAUCGUAUUUCACUAAAAGACCCGCAAGGAACCCUGAGGAGUUUAGUACAACAGUCUAUAUAGUCAAGGGUUGGUUCCUGGUGGUGUUGCUGCUGCUGCUGCUGUUGGUGGUGAUGAUGGGGAUGAUGUUGCUGAUGAUGGUGUGACAAUAACCCAGGAUCGUAGGCUUCUUCGUGAGCGGUCAACCAAC